AGCCUGCAACCCAAGCAUGUGCCCUUGACCGGAAUUGAACCCCGGACCCUUUAGUCCACAGGCCGACGCUCUAUCCACUAAGCCAAACCAGCGAGGGCCUGUUUUAUGUCUUUAUCUUUUCUGACAUGUGGUAUUUUCAAGCUACAGAUUAUAAUUCAGUCAUUUUUCCCUUUCUUUAAGAGACGGGAGCUUUUGGCCCGCUGUGUGUCUGUUCUCAUUGGACUCUGAUAGCAUGGGAAAGGCUGAGUGGGAGGAUAGCAUUUUCAGUAAGCAGUAGCACAGUGGCACAGGUCAAUGUGGGGUCACCCAAAAGCUUGUCCCAUCUGAAGUGGACUGCACACCCCCUCUUUCUUUCUUGAGCCCUCUGGGUAACAUAAUACUCCUGAUUGUCCCUGUCACAUAAAGGAAAUGAGAGUUGUAUAGACCUAUAUUAUUUGUCCAGUUCUCGAUGUAUGUUAGUGUUCCGUUUCUAAACAUUCUAUUUGUGCUUGGUGUAAACAUUGAAGGACAUUGCUGGAUUUCAUUCUCUGAUCCAAUAAAGGACUAUGUGAUUUUCAGAAUCUAAGAUAGCACAUUGAAAGAAAUGGUUCACAAUUACCCAUGUUUUUUGUUGGCAUUGGUUCGUUUUGGUUUUGGCCUUCUAUGCACUAUUUACAUGUCUUUCCCUUGAGUUGUCAUAAAUCAUAAUUGUUUUUUAAUUUUCUCCUAAGUUGACAUAUUUUCAUGGACUUGGUGCUCUCUCUUAUUGUGGUUCAUUAUGUGGCCCAAGGGAGAUUUCAACCAAAUCUGUGCUCUUAAACUUUUGGAUGGGACAUGUUGUUCUUUCACACUGGAAAAUUAUAAGCAAAAUGUUAAACACGCUAUCAUUUUGAGGGGGAAAUCUUUAUGUUUUAUGGACUUUGAGAGAGUUUGGUUUUGACACACAGUUCAAUAUCAAGUCCUUAUGUAUAGCUUUGUAACUUUGGGCAAGUUAUUUCAUGUCUUUAAGAAUCAGUUUUGUCAUCUGGAAAAUGAGUAUAAUAAGUCUCAGUUUUCCUGUUUGAUAAAUGAGCAACUUCUAGAAGUAUGAUGAGGAUUAAAUGAGCUAAUUCACAUAAAGUGCUUAGGUAUGUCUGGCAAGUCAUAAGCACGAAGCACUCAUUAACUUUCCUAUUAAAAGCUAAUGGAUCACACUUUGGGAAAUCCUGGUUCUAUUUUUUUUAGUAAGUUUUCAAAAUUGUGAUAGUCGUUAGGGUUGGCUUGGCUGUGGCAGCAUUGUCCUCAUAUAAGCAAAUGAUUGUGGAUGAUCAGUCAGGAAAUCCAGAUGAUUGUCCUGCUCAUUCCCUUUCUGGGUGCAUGACUUUGGACAAAUCAUUUUACAUCUUUAAAUCUGAUGUUCUUAUGGUGAAGAAAAGUGGCAUACUUAUGCGUGGGCUCCUUACUGUACAGGUUUAUCUGAAGGAUAUUUCUUUAUAUUGGUUGUGUAAAUACUUUGCAAAUUGCAAAGGACUGCAUCCACGUGGCUUCUAGCUUUAAAAAAUUACUAUUUGGGGUUGGACAGAAUAUCAGAAGAACUCAGCACCCUACUGUUGUUGGUAUAUUGUACUGAAGCCCAACUAAACUGUUAUAUCAGGGCUAUUGGCCUUGAGUCAGCCUUUCCAAGGCCACCAUUGUCCCAGUGCUUAUGGAACUGUGCCUGGAUACUGUGGAAAUUAUAGGGAAAAUGUGAAUCAGUGUGCUGGUUUAGUUGGCUUCUAAAUUUGGUUCACUGUUUCAUAAAUUAGGAUCUGUCUAAAAUGGUUCUUGUUGCCACCAGCAACCAGGGUCACAGAACUGAAGGGCAUCAGAUAGGCAAGAUAAAUGGAAAAUAACUUCCCAAAGUAACUCCUUUUGCAAGAAUCCCAAGGCUAGUUUCGGGGCUGAAGAUAACUAAAUGGGAAGCUCUAGGCUUGAGAUUUCCUGCUUGCAACUGAUAACAGAUUUGGAUAUUGAUGUGGACAUACAACCAUGCCUUUGAGGUCUUCUACUUAUUUUCACAAACAAAGGCCAUACAACCGUGCAUUUGAGGCCUUCUACUUAUUUUCACAAACAAAGGCCAUACAACCGUGCAUUUGAGGUCUUCUACUUAUUUUCACUGUGUGCUCAUAGUAUCUUAGUGUGUAAUGUUAGUAUUCUUUAGCAGUUUUCUGCUGUUGUGGCUCAAUAUUUUUUCUCAAAGUUGAUGUUGAGAAUCAUUUAUAGUCCUCAAAUCUGUAAUCCUUCAUUCUCUGCAUGACUUACCCCCCUACACUCGUAAGGCAAGUUUUAAUAUGGAAAAAUAUUUAGAGGGGCAUUCUGGGAAAAAAGGAGACAAGUGCAUGUAUGAGACACUAAGAUAGUGAAAUCAGCAGGCAUUUGUAUCGUUUUAUGGAGGGGAAAGUAAAGGUAAAAGAGGGGGAUCAGAACUGACCCACAGACUUAGAGCCUGGGGAACCGAUGGAUUGUGAUUCUACUAGUAUGAAUAAAAACAAGAAAUACGAGAAAGGCAUUAGAGAUGAAAGAUGUGAUUUUCCUUGGCUACUUCUGGUCCUCUUUGCCCUUUGUAAAAGUCUAAUUAUUUGUACUUAAUUACCUUAAAUAAAAGAGAAAGUGUUAUUGCUUGAAAUGAAUGAGCACAUACCAGAAAAACUAAAAAUAUAAUAAAAUUAAUAAUAACAAUAAUAAUAAAAGGGCACAUACCAGAAAGAUUAAAGAGUUUAGGUCCUGGCUUCUAGAAAGAAUAAUCCUCUUAAUAAGUUAGGUUGAAGGGCUCUAGUGUUAGAUAACUAGAACAGCAUUCUGCCUUUGGAAAAAUGCCAUCAAUCCUUUGCCCUUCCUCUUAUUUUAAAAAAUAGCCAUGGAAGCAAGAUGCAGCAGAGCUUAAUGGGAAAAUUUUCUAGAUUUUAUGCCUUAAGCACCAGCUAUUUUGCUAAGCCCACUGUCUCCUCCAAGAGUUUUGCUAGUCAAAGACUGACAGAGAUGGUUAGGAAGUGACAUAAAAUAUGGGUGUUAUUUUAGUAGCAACUUGCCCCGAAUGUCCCUCAUAUACAAUCUCAGCUGAAACAUUUCCUCUUUGAUAGAAAUACAGCAUGGCUAAGACCUACUGGAAAAAUAUUUUUAGUUCAACACCUGGCUGCACAUCCUAAAUGACCCGUUAGUAUAAACUGGAUUCCAGGAGGUUCCUAAGACAAAGCUCAGGUUCCAUGCUCUCUUCCCUUUUCCAUGGUGUUUUCUUUAGUAUCUCAGCUUCUUUGUAUCCCACCUUCCCCACGUCACAGAAAUGCCAGAACCUAAGAAACAGAUGAUUUUCCAGCAUCCUUUUGCUCGCAUUCUGUCAGAAUCUCUGCCCGACUGUGCACUCUUUGCAAACAUCCUGCAGCGUCAUUCUUUCCAUAGUGAUCCAAGUAGCCUGUUUGUCAAAGGUCUGGCUCCUGUGACAUUUCCUUUUGAACUUUUGUAGGUUAGUAUUUAAAAACAAAACAAAACACCAUUCUGGGAUAGGUUUAUAGGCUAGUGCUAAACACCCUUUAUAAGCACUGAGAUGCAUCUUUCCCUAAGCUAAAUGGUCACUUGCUCCGCACCUGUUGUAACAGUGCUUUCUUUAUUUUCUUCGCCAGGCUGGGAAGUAGCCUGGGGUGGACUGUUAUAUUAUUUCAUUAACUAUGAAUUUGGGGGAAGCAUGACAUUGAGAGUAUGGGUUCCUUGAGUAGUUCCUAUUAAGGUAACAAAUGUGCUCACUUUGUGUUUCUACCUGGCAAGUGUGACUCUGAGAGCCACCUCCAUCAAUCUGAAUGUUUUACGCCAGACAAGAGGGCAGUCAGCAUAUGCGAGCUUCAUGCUGUCUCUUAGCAAACAUUUUCUAGAAGGCAGAUUUGUUUUCUCAAAUCAGAAUUAAUAAUACUAAAACCAAUAAACCUAAUUUUGAAAUUA